GGAGACUUUAGAGGCAUUGGAAAAGGGCGGGCGGCGGCAGAGUGGGCCGAGGCGGCACCCGAGGAGGCCACGGGGGUACUCGGGGUCCCACUAGAAGCUCGCUUGCCGCGCGCUUUUUGAUACCACAUUGGUAAUCAGCUGAAGACUGACAAUAAGUUACAAAAAUAACAAAACAAUUUUAGAUUGGCUAGCAUUCCAUUUAUCUGUCAAAUCUCUUCCUUCAAGAAACACAUUCUUGUUGUUUGGAGGUGGGUUUGGAGGAUUUGGGACAACAUCUACAACUGCAGGUUCUGCAUUCAGCUUUUCUGCCCCAACUAACACAGGCACUACUGGACUCUUUGGUGGUACUCAGAACAAAGGUUUUGGAUUUGGUACUGGUUUUGGCACAACAACGGGAACUAGUACUGGUUUAGGUACUGGUUUGGGAACUGGACUGGGAUU
rnacentral:lncRNA from 10 species